rnacentral:rRNA from 1 species
CUGCUGCCUUCCGUAGGAGUUCGGACCGUGUCUCAGUUCCAAUGUGGGGGACCUUCCUCUCAGAACCCCUACUGAUCGUCGCCCCGGUGGGCCGUUACCCCGCCGGCAAGCUAAUCAGACGCAUCCCCAUCCUUUACCGGCCGAAGCCUUUGGUCAUGAAAACUAUGCAUCAACAUGACAACAUACGGUAUUAAUCCGCCUUUCGACGGGCUGUCCCAUAGUAAAGGGCAGGUUGGAUACGCGUUACUCACCCGUACGCCGGUCGCCAUCAG